rnacentral:tRNA from 1 species
UCAGAAAUAGUUUAUUUAAAAUAUUAAUUUUGGGGAUUAAAGAUAAUUUUUAAUUUUUCUGAA